rnacentral:rRNA from 1 species
CCUACGGGUGGCAGCAGUGGGGAAUAUUGCACAAUGGGGGAAACCCUGAUGCAGCGACGCCGCGUGAGUGAAGAAGUAUUUCGGUAUGUAAAGCUCUAUCAGCAGGGAAGAAAAUGACGGUACCUGAUUAAGAAGCCCCGGCUAACUACGUGCAAGCAGCCGCGGUAAUACGGAGGGAGCAAGCGUUAUCCGGAUUUACUGGGUGUAAAGGGAGCGUAGACGGCAUCACAAGUCUGGAGUGAAAGGCCGGGGCUGAACCCCAGAACUGCUGUGGAUACUGGGCGGCUAGAGUGCAGGAGAGGUAGGUGGAAUUCCUAGUGUAGCGGUGAAAUGCGUAGAUAUUAGGAGGAACACCAGUGGCGAAGGCAGCUUACUGGACUGUAACUGACGUUGAGGCUCGAAAGCGUGGGGAGCAAACAGGAUUAGAUACCCCUGUAGUC